UAUGUACUUCCUCCGUCCGGAAAAGCUUGUCCCUUAAAUGGAUGUAUCUAACACUAACUUGGUGCUAGAUACAUCCAUUUGAGGGACAAACUUUUCCGGACGGAGGGAGUACUCU
rnacentral:pre_miRNA from 1 species